GAGUAUAUUUAGUUUCCUCCGCUAUUAAUAGGGUUCACGGCGUGUGAACCUAUACUUUGGUUAAUUCAUCGAUACUGCAUUCUGAUCAAAUGUGGUACUGUGAUGAUAAUCUUUAUGGGAGGAAGGAGACGUCCUUCCGUUAUGACCAUAUUGUCAUCAUGGAACUUUCGUUCUGAUGGAUUUUCUCUGUAUGGGUGAGCCUUUCUAAGUUUUAUCUUUUAAACGGCAUUGCCUUGUCUCCUAAGAUGGAUAAGUCCUUCUUGUGAUGCACCGUUAGCUUGUGAUGCACCGUUAGGGUGCACACUCAUGUGAAGGGUUUGGAACACCUCAAACCUGGAUGGAUGCAAGCAUCACCCUUUGGUAAGGUGGUGUUUUCAUUUGUGCGUUACUUGAAGGUCUGUCGGAAAUUCUCAUGCUCUAGCACUUUGUUUGCGUUAAAAGGGGUGAGUUUUAUUUGAAGUUAAGAAAGAAAAGGAAUAAACAAUUCUGGUCACAAUACUAUUACCGUGACACCUUCUUUUCUUCUUUUAGAAUUCACCUCCUUUUAGUGCAAUCCUAGUGUUCGGGGUGAGGGUUAAAGACUAGAUCCACGGAGCACUGUGCUCCUAGGGAAUUCUAGAAAUUAACUACUUCUAGAACGGAACACAUAAGACUAUGUAUACAAUACAAGGAAAGGAAAAAGGUCUCUUAGGGGUACCACAAAGAAAAGAAUCAAAAUAGCUAAAAAGAGUCUGCUUCCUUUAUCAUAUAUAUGAGAUAGUAGAUCACCUUUUUUUUUUGAAGCAAAAAAAAAGGUGAUCUACUGUUGUAGUCUUCUUGACAUAUCAAGUCAAGAGGGCGAGGCUCCUAGCAAUGGGGGGAAAGGGGAGUGGGUAAGCGGGCUCCUUUCACUUGACUGGUUAGUUAGGAGUGAUCUUUUUUCUACGAUGUUCGAGAUCUUUGUCUCGCAGAGGGUGAAAUGAGAUCUUCUUGGAACAAGGUCAGAGGCGUUGGACGGACCAGUUUCUUCUGAUUCCAAUGAUAGAUGGAUGGUCAGGUCGGUAACAUAUGGAUGGAGGACUUCUACAGGGUCUUCUCGUGCGCUCGACUAGCAAGGUGGUUUUGUAGGCGAACGAAAUAAGUUUUUGGAGGCGAGCGGAGUGAGGCAAUGAAAUUGUUUAGGCGAAAGAAAGGAGAGAACGAGUGGAGUUUCGAGAAUGAGAAUCAUAUAUUUUCUCAUUUCUUUUUCGUAGUAAGAAGACACUAAGACGCACCCACUACACACCACACACUCAGACGACUAGCGUGGUCCUUCCCCCAUCGAAGAGCCACGUAUCCAGGGUUGACCACAUCAUCACUGUUUUAUCAAGGUGUGGCCACGGUCUCAAUUGGGUCAUUGUUUAGUAUGCCCAAGCUUGACAAUAGCUGUGGAUAUUUUGAGUCCCUCAGAACGCAACUCCCUUAUGAGUUGGAAGCCAAGACAAAUGGAUUCCACUUCAUAGGUACCGUUCACCUCACGUGAAGGCUCGCUCAGAACACGUACCAAGCUUUUAUUAGAAAGGAACAGAACAAAGAGGAGUGCUCCACUCCGAAAGAGAAGGAACGGAAAGAGCAGGCGGCAGAGAAAGAGACAAGGAGGAAGAAGGGGGCACUACGGGAAGAGCAUCCAAGACGCGCUAAGGCAAAGGCAUAGAGCUCAAACACAGGCUUAGUAAGCACAGAUUCCCUAGAAAGAAAGAUAAUUCUAGAAAUUAACUACUUCUAGAACGGAACACAUAAGACUAUGUAUACAAUACAAGGAAAGGAAAAAGGUCUCUUAGGGGUACCACAAAGAAAAGAAUCAAAAUAGCUAAAAAGAGUCUGCUUCCUUUAUCAUAUAUAUGAGAUAGUAGAUCACCUUUUUUUUUUGAAGCAAAAAAAAAGGUGAUCUACUGUUGUAGUCUUCUUGACAUAUCAAGUCAAGAGGGCGAGGCUCCUAGCAAUGGGGGGAAAGGGGAGUGGGUAAGCGGGCUCCUUUCACUUGACUGGUUAGUUAGGAGUGAUCUUUUUUCUACGAUGUUCGAGAUCUUUGUCUCGCAGAGGGUGAAAUGAGAUCUUCUUGGAACAAGGUCAGAGGCGUUGGACGGACCAGUUUCUUCUGAUUCCAAUGAUAGAUGGAUGGUCAGGUCGGUAACAUAUGGAUGGAGGACUUCUACAGGGUCUUCUCGUGCGCUCGACUAGCAAGGUGGUUUUGUAGGCGAACGAAAUAAGUUUUUGGAGGCGAGCGGAGUGAGGCAAUGAAAUUGUUUAGGCGAAAGAAAGGAGAGAACGAGUGGAGUUUCGAGAAUGAGAAUCAUAUAUUUUCUCAUUUCUUUUUCGUAGUAAGAAGACACUAAGACGCACCCACUACACACCACACACUAAGACGACUAGCGUGGUCCUUCCCCCAUCGAAGAGCCACAUAUCCAGGGUUGACCACAUCAUCACUGUUUUAUCAAGGUGUGUCCACGGUCUCAAUUGGGUCAUUGUUUAGUAUGCCCAAGCUUGACAAUAGCUGUGGAUAUUUUGAGUCCCUCAGAACGCAACUCCCUUAUGAGUUGGAAGCCAAGACAAAUGGAUUCCACUUCAUAGGAACCAUUCACCUCACGUGAAGGCUCACUCAGAACAUGUACCAAGCUUUUAUUAGAAAGGAAUAGAACAAAGAGUAGUGCUCCACUCCAAAAGAGAAGGAACGAAAAGAGCAGGCAGCAGAGAAAGAGACAAGGAGGAAGAAGGGGGCACUAUGGAAAGAGCAUCCAAGACGCGCUAAGGCAAAGGCAUAGAGCUCAAACACAGGCUUAGUAAGCACAGAUUCCCUAGAAAGAAAGAUUUCCUCUCUUAAAGAUGCUUUCUUCCUGUAAUAGAAGUCAAACUCAACAGCUGACGCAACUACUUAUGCACUUCCAGUCCACCCAGACCGGUAGUAGCAGCAAGCCUACUUCUUAUUGCACUUGAAGGAGGAAUAAGACCAAAAAGAAGGAGAACUAACGACGGGAAGAGAAGAUAGUUAGUUUCUAAAGGCUGGACCAAUCAAACCAUAUCGUAUCGAACCAUAGCGGGAGCGAGGAGCACAUAUUCUUUAUUACUGACUUUUCAUGGUUGAUCGCACCAAAAGGAGUCGGUGCUUGUGAGUAGGAGAAUAUUCUUUAUUGCAAGAUGUUCGUCCACCCGCCGCCUUCGGUCAACUCAAACAAGAGGCCAGGAAGGACAUUGUUAAAGGCUCACUGAGUGCUUCUAGGUUAAAGGGAAGCACUAGACUCACUCCACGGGAACUCACUUUUCGGUUUGCUUCAGAUUUGGCAUUCAUUCCCCCUCCCCUUCCUGGAUUUCGCCUUAUUGUCUGCUAUGCUAGCCUAUGAUGGAUGAAGGCCAUUCAUUUUGGCUCUGUAGGGCUACCCACCCUAUGGUAUGGGGUGUUAUCUCAAGGGCCUGGUUAGGCUCUUCUUGUUGGAGUAUCCUCACUUAGAGGCUAAAAUUCAUUCUCUCUUUUCUUUUGGGAGUGCAUGAAGAGACCUGCUUACUGGAAGGUACCAUUCACAAAGAAUGGUGAAAAGGUUACCUACCCUAUGAUCCUCCUUAUCUUACAGAGGUUUACUACGAGCCAUACCCAGCGGGAUACAUAUUGCCCAAAUGGAACCUAAAAGAUGGGAUGGGUGAUCCAUAAGAUCAUUUGCCGUGGUUCAGCCGGGAUCUUUCUGGAAAUCAAAACUAGUUUUGUUAAGGAACGAAGUAGCUCGUCGCAUACCCGCAUUUCUCUUGGUAUACCCACCUGUGUGCCUCCUAAUUCUGUGAAGUCCUUGGAGCAUGUGCAAUUUAUUCAGGAUCCUUGUCAACAAAGAAGUAAAUCCCUUAUUCUUUCUUUUAUGUUAAAAAGCCUGGACUCGAAGAGGGAGUCGAUUCACGUACUUCACCAUUUCCUGGGACCUUAUCUUCUUUCCUCGGUUCAGGGUAUGGGUUCUUUCUUUAUGUUUGAAAGUCCCGGUGUGAACUCCCCUCCUGAUCUGACUCCAGCGGAUUCUCGAGAAGCCAAUUCUCUCUCUCGAUCUAGAUCUACUUUACCGACAAGAGCUCUUAAUGAAUGAGCGAUGAGUUUGAUUCACACUAUGAAAAAUAGAGGAAAUAGAAUAUUAUAUAGCCUAUAGCUAUAGGGCUAGGCUCCGCUCCUCGCUCGAGCUACCAGCUUUCGACGAUUUUAUUCCUGUUGACUAAUCUGAGUCCUUGAGAGCUUAGACGUCAGCGGGGAAGAACUCCGGAAAGAAUUUCAUCGGCUCCUCAUCUCUUGCCUUCUUGAUGGUAUCCAGUUGAAAUGGUUGUUGGAUUGCCCCUAGUUCAAGCUCUAAGUCAAGAAUUCACGCACCAAAGACCUAUGACUACGCUCCUCAGCCUAGGAAAGAAAAAUCCCAUUUGCCUAAUACGUACUACUGUGCAGCAGAUGAUUUAGCUGCCCUUAUUCCUCUACCAGCUUCUUCUUGGCAUCAAGCCAGCCCUUAUUCCUUGCAUCAACAGGCAAUCCCGCAUAAAAGAAAGGCUUCGUACUUGGCUGAUUCGACAAGGGAAAAAGGCAUCCAUUCAAACAGCUCCCAUUCCUAUGUUGACACCAAGAGAAAGAAACCCUGGAGCCUUCCUCUCUAUCCAUUCCUUUUUCAUAAUCAUAAAGGAUGGAAAUGCAACGCUUACUAAACCAGCAACAGUAGAGUAAGCUCCUAUAUCCGUGAAGGACUGCUUUCCAGCAGAGGAAAACUUCUCGUUGCUGAGCUUGCCGUUAAAGAGGAAGAUGCUGAUUCUAUAGCAGCUCCGAUUCCUUCACCGAGAACGAGAAGGAAGUCUUAUAGAACGAACAAGCGCUAAAGAAGGGGGUGGGAUCUCUCCUAAAAGAAAGAAUUGACCUCGAGCCUGUCCUACUCAUUCUCCUUUUCCCGUUCCUGACCCUGAGUGUGGAGGGGUUAGCCUUGAGCCAGGUCUUGAUUGUUUAUUCCAUUUUGUCAGUUUAAGUACGUCAAUGGGAGUUACGGAUAUUCAUUCCUAAACUAUGUCACCGAUUGGUGACCUGAUCCCGCUAAGCAAGAACAGCUACCGACACCAACUCUAUCUUAACGACCGGUAAAGCCCUCUCUGACGGAUAUGGCACUUCACUGCUCGGAGAGGAAUGAAUUCUUCUCCAAAUCAUCUCUUCCUUUAUUGUUGUUAAGAAAGAAGUCAAUUACGUUCGAGCUUUUUGUCAACUGAUUCCACUCAAGCAAUAGAAAGAAAGGCUAUCUCCUCUAAUCUCUAACUAUGCUGAGUUCAAUCAAGCGUCGAACUAGUCGACCUCCUUACUUCUUUACCGCUCCUUCCCCUCACCCUCAAGUCACGACCUAAUGUAAGUUCUUUCAGUCCUUUUCGAGCUAGCAUAGCAGCUGAUAUGGAAUAGCCCUUCUCUAGCCGGGAGCCGGGAAAAGAAGAGUCCGAUCUACGAUACGCCAUAACCAUCCACCCCGUCCCGAGCCUCGUUUGCUAAGCGGGCUCAUAGUCCAAGCCUCUUGGUCCGAGGAAGGGGAACCCCAUCGUGCUGGCUUGGCAUGGAAGGACGGCUACCCAAAAAGUGUUUUUCGCAGCUUGGUCCGCGUAAGCUCAAUGCUUAUGGCUUUACCCAGCAUUGCCACUCUUCUUACUAUGUUGUGGGACCGCGAAGACAACCCACCACUGGAACUUGCUUUGCUCUCGCUCCGCUCGCUCCCACCUGUCUUCUUCCCACUAUAGUGAAAGAUCUUUAACCAUAGCAGGAACCUCACUGACCUUCUCGGGCCGUUACUGAUUUUUAGCUGGGGAUCCCUUCCUGCUUAUCCACCCACCAUAAACGAUUACUAAAGGACUUGGAAUACGAAUAAGAUCAAAAAGGCCAUCAUUGGGGAAAAUGAUGCAAUAGCUUCGGUUAGAGCAAAGCCCAAAAUGGCAUAACCAAAUAAUUGUUUUGCUAAUGAUGGAUUUCGCGCCACAGAAUGAAUCGAGGAACUAAGGACGUUUCCAAUACUGAUAGCAGCUCCCACUGAAGCAAUUGUAGCAGCUCCUGCACCCAUUGAUUUUGCACCUUCUAACAUCUCGACUUGAGAAUUCUCCUCACGCUUUUUCCAUCACGAUUUUCUCUUCGAGAACACUCGCCUCGUCGAUUCUUCCCCUCGUUCCUUUUAUCUUGGACAUUGAGAUGUUCAUGCAAAGCAUAGGCGUCACAAGCGGUACACUGAACACCAACCCAAUCUCGAAAAAUAAAGAGAAGUACAAGCAAGGACAUUUUCUCGAUCAAGAAGGUAUUGAACUUCUCGACGCACCUCUAUCAAUUCCUUCUUUGCCUCAUCUUCUUCUCUUAUGAAAUUUCUUUUGAAAUCGAUUUUUUCAAUAUUCAAUAUUUAUAUUGACAAUAGUGUAUCGAACAAAUAGAAUUCAUUGUGAUAAAUGAAGUGGAUCUAUUUCGUUUUCUUUCUAUUGAUUGAGACCUAGCCUCUCUCCUUUGGUUCGUAGCCUUGGGUUAUACACUUUUCCUUAAGGCAGAGGUUUUGCCCACUUCAAAAACAUGUACUCCGUCGAAGGCAAAGAGGUUUUCAGCAACCCUAGAGCUAGUUCAACUUGAAGACUCUCUUUUUCUCUAUACGGAAUUCCUAGGAGUCCACAAAAGAAGGCAGUACCAAAUAACCUAGAAUAAGGAAGUUUUAUACCUACUCAAGGGAACUAGCAAAGAAGCAAUAUGUCCAGUCACCUGGUCUUUAGGAUUCUUACGAUAGCAGGCGAGACUAAGCAGAAAUACAAAGUCUAGGUAAUUCUUUAUCCACUCUGCCGGAUCAAUCACAUUUGAGACCUAAGGAAGGUAAAUUAGCGGCAUCUCCUUCGAGAAGAGCCCAUAUUCUUUCAGUAAUACUAUGAGAUAGAUUAGGAAAGACUUCGUUUUCCGGGUCAAGGUUUGCAUUUAGCUGAGGUAGAAGUUCGUUAGCAAGUGGAAAGUCAAAAAGGGGGUCAUUCUCUUCUAAUUGAACUUCCCCCCGCUUACUUGAAUUCCUUCUAAUUCAAGGGUUAUAGGUGCAUCCCCAUUUCCCCCUUCGGCCUCUCCCUCUUCGAGUCGUCUUCACUUCUUCAAUCCUGCUGCUCUUCUCCCUCUAUAUAGCGCGGGUAGCUUGCUUCCAAGCCACUGGCAGGAACCAGAUAAGGAACAAGAGAGAGAAGCAGCUCAAUUUCAAAGGUUAGGCGCGAUAGCCACUCGUGCAGAAGGAGAUGUUUGGGAUAAAAGCCCCGUCUCAUGGUGCUUUUGUUAGGAGUUCCCCCUCUCCGGUAUAUUUUACUGUGGCAACCCUGAUGGAGAAGAUUGUUGGCCCCCUCUCUGCUGGUUCUCUCAGACUAGCAUCAACUGAUGUUAAGGUUAACCCAAUAGUCAGGUUUCAUUACUUCCGAAAUCCUGGUGAUGGAUGUGGAGAGGUGUGUGAACAGAAAGAUUCAUGAUGUACAACAAAGCCGCUCCAUGUAGGAAUUCAAGUACCAACAAGAGUUUGGUCCUAUAUAUUUCAGGUAUGUUGGACCUUCAUUGCCUGCUGAUCUAUCCAAUGAUUUUCUGAUGGGAUAGUUCUGUCGUUGUGACCACAAUAUCGCAUUACCAUGGCGGCUGCCUUGUUGGGAAAGUGGUUGAUAGGAACUUAAGACUUUUUGGGGCACUCAGAGUUGUUGAUGGUUCAACCUUUACCGUGUCACCGGGCACCAAUCCGCAGGCUACUCUGUUGAUGCUUGGCCGGUAAGUGCUUUAAUAUGCGUUGGAUAUUGUACAGAAGUGCGAUUGCGACUAAUCGGGAGCUUGCGUAUGUAAACGAAAGAGUAGACAUCCCCCUUGAUAACUGAAUGCAAGCGAGGCUGGACCUAGAUUCGCGUAUGUAAGUGAAAACGAAAAGAAAGGAGAAGGGGAACUCCUUUCUUGUCUAGAAAGGGGAAGAGGAGCUCAAACAAGGUUCAAAGAUCCCCUCCCCAAAGUAUGGUUUAAAGAAAGCCUUUCGGGUUAGUGAGGAACAUGAUAGUGAAAGAGAGAAGAAAGGAAAUCCGUUUAUGGCGGCUUACCUUCGUACAUUCAAGAACAGUUGUGACUCCUUGGCAUCUAUCAAUGCACCGGUGUCCCAAUCUGAUAUGUUUACAUUCCUUCUUGCUGGCCUGCCUUCGGAGUAUGAAAGCUUUGUCACUACGGCGAAGCUUCAACGACCAAAACCAACUAUGGCUGAGCUUCGGUCCAGCUUGUUGUUACAUGAGUCUUGGCUUCAGCAGAUGCAUCCUAUUACUAUGUUGAUGAUCUUGUAUACUAACCGAGUCCGCACUCGCCCGAGAACACGUACGUCCUCCCUGUAAUUGUCUUGUCUUUGUUAUGGUUUCAGGGCCUACGUCUACCCGUAUGGAGCCACCAUCAUUCGCAAGGCUUGCUUUACAUUGGACCCGAUGUUGAGCCUCUCAUAGCCUAGUACCGGUGAACUAGGUAAGCGACCCUGCAAGGCAGCCAGCCUUUCUGCAAAAUCAAUGUCCGCCUCGCCGCUGCUUUCGGGUAGAGGUAGGCUCUUGCUUAAUGCUUAAUGCUUAAUGCUUAAAGCGGUUCGAGCUGCUCUCGCUCAUUCUUUCGUUGUUGCUAGCUUGCGGUCACUGCGAUGGUCACAAGCUCUCACUAGAAGGAUCGGAACACACAACAGUAGCCCAGGCUUAGGUUAGGGCGCAUGAUCUCAUUGCAGGGCUUGACCACUCAUGCUCAUCUCGAUAAGAAGACUAGACUUCGUUCGCUAGGGCAGCUGAUAGCUAGCUUAGGCUUCUCGGCCAGUUUCCCCUGUAUUGAUCCAUUGUGUUAGCCGGCGAAAGUGGGCAUGCUUUCAUCGCUUCCGUGCUCCUAGUUUUCCAUUGCAUUGAGGAAGGUGAUGUCCUACGGUCAAGUCAAACGGAAUCUUUGUUAGGAAUAUUAUCACAUAAGUGUUUGUAAAUGAAGAAAGGAUUUUAGAUUGUUGAAAGAAGAACCCUAAGGCCAGAGUGAGAAGAGUUAUGACCCGAUAGCUCUAUGCCUACGGUUCCUUGUUAGGGGUUCAUAUAACAUCUAAAGCUAAAGAGUUUUUGGCCUAUACUUUUCCUUCUAAGGCUUCAUCCCGGGAGAAGGGAGUUAAGGUAACAAGGAUCGUUGAGUAAUCCUACCUCAGGUAUUUGAAAAUCGAGAUUCUUGUAUUGCUAACCCUACGGAACCUAAUGUAGCUCAUGUAGCUAUAAGGCUAAGAGUUCCUUCGGGGAGUAAGGAUCAGAAAGUGACUCAUUCGUCUUAGGGAGUUAGCUUCCUGUAGCUGGGAUUACGUUGCAAGAGUUCCUAAGGCUUCGUCUAACUAUACUUUGGCUUCGUCUAUGUCUAACCAACAGCUUUGCCUUUCGACUUUGAUCCGCCUAUGAACCUUGGUUCACGCUCUACCUAUCUUAUUCUUUCAAGCCCUCAACAUUCUGUCCAAAUUGCUUGCUUCCUUUAGAAAGCGGUCACUCAUGUCAAUGAAUACCAUUCAUAGUUGUCUAUGUUAGUAACAUAGCCAUAACGACUUUGUUUUACUGCUUGAGGUGGUGAUAGCUUUUAUAUAUCUGCAACAUUAUAAGCUUGCAUAGUGCUCUUCCUAUUUGUUUGUUUUCUCGGCUUUCUUCUGCCGAACCGAACGAAGACAGUUUCUCCUAUCUCUGUACCUAUUGCACUGAUAUCUUCUCUUUCGCUCUCUUUCUUCAUUCAGGAAAGGUGAAGAUUGAAUCGGGAACCGAAAACGAAGCAGGAACAGACUUGUCCUUUGGUCGAGUUUGCUUCACUUCCUGAGCCCUCACCACUUCCUGCGACAGCUAACAAGGGGCAUUUAGGACAACUCGUUCAUUUAGCACAACUUCAUUCCGCUCGGGCCUCUCUUUGGAGAGUCCCUUCUUUCCAAUCUAUAAAUAUAGUACUGGCUCGCUAUUCAUAUUAUUUCUGCUUGACCGGUACCAAGAACUCCAUUUUCACUGAAUUCUGGGUCUGGGCGCUUAGCAGCCCCUACUUUCACAUUUCUUCCUAUGUUGGUCUACUUCCAUUUAGACUGACCUGGCAAUUAUCUUCCUAUAGAUAGCUCCUUGCUUAUAAAAAGAUUUAGUUUGAGAAUCAGCUGAAGCUUAUUCAGGAUUGAUCUUUCUUAUCCGAGAGUCUUAUCAAACUCUCUGCCACUGUAGGUGCGACACAGGUAGUAGUGACUGAAAGAGCUGAUGCGGCAUGAUCGCGAUUAUAAGCGUCCUAUUUAGUUUAGGGAUUUAGGGACUAGGCCUGUUGAGGGACUGAGAUGAUUCAUCUUAGUCUUAGUAUGCCGGGUAUGUCUUUGGCCAAGCCCAGGGAUUGACAAAUCUAUAGUGGCCGGUCUAUCUUCUUCUGGGCGAGCUGCGGAGCUACUUUUUCUUUCUUUCAUUCCAUCUGUCUUGCUUGAUUGGUUAAAGAGAGCGCUUUGAUAAGACUGUUCCGCAGAGAGUGUGGCUAAACACUUCUUCACCUUUCGGCCUUCAAAGGAAUGGUCGGAACUGUGAUCCCGAUUAGAUAGUUGCAUUCUUCUCCUCUCUCUAUUUUGGCUUGGGGCACUGUUAGGCUCAUCUCUCUGAGUUCGAGCGGUUGAACUCCUCCCAGGCGAAUCAAUAAUGAUUGUGGCUGGACUCCUCUAUUCAUCUAUCAAUCUCGUUUAUGAAUGUUAUGAUGGCCAGGCAUAGCCGGAACUCUUUCGUAGGCAGCUCUCGAGGCAGUGGCUUGAAACUAAUCCUCCCGCAGUACCCACCAUGAUCGGAGCUGAGAUGAUUCAUACUAGCUUGGUUAGGUCAAUAUCUGUACCAUCGCUUCUAUUUGAUGUAAUAUAGUAUAGAAGCUGAAGGCGAGAAAUCAUCAAUUAAAGUACAUGCAGCUUCCCUGGCCUAAAUGAUGGAACUCCAGCAAGAAAUCUAUUAAAGACAUGGUGCUGGGUUAGCCGAAAAUCAAAGUUUUUCUGGUCCCUGAAAAAUUCGCUUUUUAUGAUUACAUUGGCAAUAAUCCAGAAAGUGGAUCUAUUUCGUUUUUUUCUCUUUUAAGAAAAGGAAAAUCUUAUUUCCCGGAUCAUUGUACAUUUCAAUUUGAAUUAGGCAUUCUGUGUCCAACUCUAAGCAGUCCUUACCUACAUAUGCAUCUGAUCAUAUAUGUAUUAUCUAUUCCGACAAAUAAUACAAAAGAACGAGGUUUGGAUGCGCUUCUGUCCUUAAAGGGAGUUCGCCGAGGGUGAGAACGAGAAUCGAAUCGAUUGAAUCACAAAGAUCUAUUCACUUAUAUAUAUAGAAGAAGAGGAGUAUCAUCAUUCCAAAGUCCUACUUCAAAGUCAUAAAUGGUAAUAAUAAUUAGGUUAGGUAGCUGAUCAAAUAUUAAGAACAUGCCCAGAAGAAAACAAAAGAAGAUGGUCUUGUUUUUUCCUUUUCUAUUUUCUGGAUAACUUUGUAUAUGAGAAUUGGGGAAAGCAAAGGAAAUACUAGUAUAUAGUACUCCAUAGGUAAUACAGUAGUAGUUUUCCGAUGAGAAAAAACAGCACAAGAGCCAAAGCUCACCAGAUGUUUCUGAAGUCAUUCAUUACCCAAAGCAAAAGGUAACUCCAGUCUAGAGAGCUCUAGUGUAUUACAGUAGCAUAGAGGUUUUCCGUAUAUUUGAUCUAAAGCUUCUAGAGCACCGGUUUCAAAGAGGAUGCUGACGUUUCUCGAAGAAAGGUGGCCAUGCAAAAGAAGGUCAAUCUUUUGCUCCUUUAUUCAUGAGUUGCUCAUCUAUAUGGAACUCCAGUGACCAACUAGAACAUGCUCCCUCUAAGAAGACUGGAGUGGAAUCUGCAUUGAAACAUCACUCCGAUAUCAAGAAAUCAGAAUCCGAGUUCCAAGAUCAGGAUUCAACUUCUACUCUGUCAACUGGUCAAUCUAAUCAUGUGGAGGCCGCAAUGGGAAAAAGCAAGACCGUUCUGCAAAAUUUGACAGCUCAUCCAGGUUGGGGUGGAAUUUUAGAUGUGCAAGCAGAGAGUGGAACAAAGGCAUCCCUAUCAGGCGAAAGUGCCACCAACACUCUUCCUCAGCCGCAAGUGCAUCAUGAUCAUCCAACGGCUUGCCUAUCCUACCCUUGGGCUGACACUUACUUUGGAAGGCUCGUAGCUACUUAUGGAUCAAAUGCCAUCAUUUAUCCUCAAAUGGUGGGUGUCACCUCCACAAGAGUUGCACUUCCUCUUGAAUGCACAGAGAGCUUGCCCAUUUAUGUGAAUGCGAAACAAUACAGUGCUAUCCUCAAAAGGCGACAGGUCCGUGCCAAGCGUCAGGCUCAAAAUAAGCUUGUCAAAAACAGAAAGCCAUAUCUUCACGAGUCUCGACAUCGUCACGCAAUGAAGAGAGUCAGGGGUUCUGGAGGGCACUUUUUGAACACAAAGAAUAUACAGCAAUCCAAGCCUUCAUCUCCAAAGCACGAUAGAAAUAUCUUUAAUCGUCAGGCAGGUGGCAACAUAUCUAGUUACAUGGUUCAGCACUCAGAGAGUGGUAGUUGGGGGACUUCCACCCAAUCUGGUACUGAUGUGACAAGCAUCUUCAAUGGUGAUGACAUGUUCCAGCAGCCAGAGUUCAGAGUCUCUGGCUUCCCUUUUCACAUGGGUGCUACCAUGCAGGAAGCUGAAGACUUCAUGCAUGUUGGAACCUGACAGCACGCUUGUGUUAUCCAUGGUGGCGGUGCCAACACAGGCUGCAUUGCAAAUGCAUUCUUAUUGGUGCACACAAAUGGAUAAUCGGCAGUUCAUCCUUGGCUAUGUUACUCUCCCUUUUCCAGAUUGAAACCUUUAACAACACUUUUUCCUAAACUUUGGUCGUGGUAUGGUAUAUGGUUCAUGGUUAAUGAGAAAAAGAGCGCAGGUUGGUGCUGCACGUCAUCAAGAAGGGCAAGGAAAGGAGAAAAAUAUAUUGUUCUUAAUCAGAAAUAGUGGAGAUUAAGGCCGUUUUCUCCUUUUCGCGGUCGAGCGUGUAUGGAUCAUCUUGCACUUUUAUGUCUGUACUUGUUACUGUUGUUUGCAUUUGUGGUUUUCGUUCUUCUGUGCUUUGUAUUGUUCGAAUUCUUAAUAAUUUGAACUGGGGCUUUAUACAACUUUAUAUCGAAUCUAUUUUUCUGGCUUGGCUAGGUGGGAUAGCCGAGCCAUUCCCCUUUCUUUCGGAUAGCAGAUUGGGCAAAACCACUAAAGAAAAAAAUCUAUUCAAUUAACCAAAAAGGAGAGAGAGGGAUCAGAAGUCCCAAUAUGAUUAAGUCAAGUCAAAUCCUCGGUCGCUUUUAUAGGAAGAUGAGCGGAAAGGGCACUCAAGGCCAGGUCCGUCUGCCCUUCAUCAAGCUUAGGUAGGCUCAAGCCACUUACACUUUACCUAAAGUGCGAAGACAAUUCUUUCAAAUAGGCUGAGGCUUCAGUCGACCAUUAGCCAGGAGUGAUCUCUUUUCGAACAUAGGGGCAUGCCUCUUUCAGCCCUGUGUCAGCUUAGCAACGCAAAUAGACAGGAAAGAGGCCGGGAGCUGAGCUACCUCUACGAAUAUGGGAAAGUCCUAUUCGCUUUGACUCUUCCUACGAGCUUUAGUAGUUUGAACCUGAUCUCUAAAAACAAAAACAAACAGAGAGGAAGCCAGAAAUAAAAUAAGUGCCUACUAUCUAUGACUGGCCAGCGGGCGCUACUAUAUGUAUAGAAAAAGGAUAGGAGAGAACAAGGGCAUCUCAUUUCUUCUUUCAACCCUAAGAAACAUUAAGGCGGGAUGUCAGCAGAGUCAGGAAGGGAUAGAAGAGAAAUCGACUGUCUUUCUUUUGUCCCUGAAGCGUAAAGCCACUCGACUACCAGGAGUGGAGAGAACGGGUUCUAAUCCAUAGCAUUGAGGUGAGGAAACGAAGUUCUCUUUUUUAUUCGUUGAGGUGCCACCUUAUUUAUAUCCUUGAUUAGGCGAAAGGAAGGAAUUGAUAGUCUAAAGGCUUCCACUAGAACAGAACUGAGAUUCUCUACUUUAACUUGACUUUGGGACAGAGAAGGGAGAACAUGAUCCUUUAUAGAGGAAGUUACCCCGAUGACUACGACUAUAGGGAUGAUUCUCAGUCUGUCUUUGUUUCCAGCAAAAGCUAUGAAAGAAAGCUCAGCUUAGGCAAAAGCAACUCUCUUACCUGACUCAUAUCCUCGAAACUCAACCCUUUUUUCACGAGCAGAGCAGCUCAAUUUCAAAGGUUAGGCGCGCUAGCCACUCUCUCUUUUCUGGUCACCAGUUGGAACAAUUGAAUUGCCACCUCGAUAAAGAUAAACAAAUAAAAAAUCACUUUGAAAAAGGACAUAUGGAUUAGAAAGGCCUGACUUGACUCUCUCCGUCCAUGGCUCUUUUUGAUGACUUUAUAUUUUUUUUUUGUUUGGUGUUCAAGGGCUGGACUCUUACCGCUUGUGGUCGGUUAGAACGUCUCUCUCAAGACUUAGAUUAGCGCUCAGCAUUCCCUACAAAACUCCCUUGAAUAGCUGAACGUCCAAACCCGAUAAAGGCGAACCUGAUCUCCCUACUGGUCACCUUUACCAGCUCCAUCUCCUCUACCGAAUCUCCUGCGACUUCGUCUUCCCUUUUUGCUCAUAAGUAAGUAAGCUCUUCUCCACGGCAUAUUUUCACUCUUAUCUUCACUUCCUUUAUUCGUUUUCUGAUUCUUGGCUGAACCAGUAGGUCCUUCGACCCUCAAAGAAAUACGGUAUGCUGCUUCUAUGCUGUCCGUCAAACACGAAUGCAAUUCAUGCUCAGAAAAAGUCAGCUCGAAUAUUGCCCUCUUUUCUCCCUUUCUCACUCUACAUCGUAGAGACAGGAGGUCAAAAAACUCCUCUAUGUACUCUCUCAUAGCCAUUUCAAAAACAACCUUAUCUCAGAUUCUUAAACUUAUUAGUCCGUCACCUGGUAGAAAUAAAUCUUUAAACUGACGAACUUCUUGUUCUUCAUAGCGCUUCUUCUCCUGCUCCCUCUUCUGUCGUACAUGUGCUCACCAUAAGCUUGCCUUUUUGUUUUCCUUCAACUUCGUCUUCGUGGUAGUGAAAUGUAACCGCUCUGAGUCUGUAAUUUCUUCUAGUCCGAAAUACUGGUCCAUCGCGACUAACCAGUCUAAGACCACGGAGGGGUCUCAGCUUCCAUAAAAGUUAGGGACCGCUACACUAGUCUUCACAAUGACUCCACUUCCCUAAGUAUCUGUGCUUCUCCUACAGCUUGCACCACAUAAGGGCUGCCCCCACUACUGGAGCCCUCGCUCUCUUCGUGUUACGUCUUCUCCUUUGGGCAUUUGGUCGCCCCCCUAUUAGUAAGCUCUACUUCUAACUCACGCCUUCCGGCCUGGCCUCUCUUGCUACUACCUCUAUGGGCAUUGCCAUCCCAGCGCUUCACUUAUAGCUCUCUGGGCAACUUCGGCUGCAUCUUCCCUGCUCGCUGCGCGGCACUAAAAGUCUUUGGCAAACCAUGCCCAGUAAUUAUUAGACCACAUAUAUAUAUAUGAUAGUUGUAUAACUUUAUUUUAUUGAGGCGAUACACAAGCAAGACGAGCCCUGUCAUGAGUGGAAAAGCCAGAAAGCGCGAACCAAGAUCCAUAAAAAAAAUUCGAAUGAGGAAGAUACAAUCCCAUUUUCAUUUUUGAGAAUUGUAAUACCUGAACGUAGCCAUCCUUGCUCCAUUCCAUUAGAACUAGAAAGAAGUUACUAUCGUUCUCAAGCUUUCCUUUGGGACGGACAUCCCUUUUUGGACCACUCUUCAACAGCCCUUACCCUCUAGAAAAAACAACAUCGUGUCUGAUUUAGAUCUUCUCUUUUUUUUUCUUUUAUUUUAUGCUUAUUCGCUUUUUUUUUUUGCCUCACGCUGACGCAGCCGUAGAUCGGGCCCUGGAAGUCCUCUCUGCGAUUUCUUCUUUUGAUUCUGUUGUCUACGAAAGAAUGUUCAUUUUGAGGCUUUGCUUUCGAGCAUCCCUUUUCUUGCUUUGAGUGAGGAUUCUAGAAUACUACUACUUACUACGAAGCUUCCUUGUUCCUCUUUCUUCCGCAGGCGUCUACGCUCUAAUAAUGGUUUAUCCCUUUGAAGUAAACAACUCCUACCCUUUCUUUCCCCUCUCUGAUCGUUGUGUCCGCGCAAUGAAUGGCAAUGAUUGGAAAAAAAACCUUUGGUCUCAGGCAUAAGAGCUGGACUGGACUCUCGUAUUCGGCUAAUGAAUGAUCGGAUCGGGGGGCUCGCCCAAUAAUCAAUAAUCAAGACUAAUACAAGGCUUUCUUCUCCCUUCGGUCAAAGAAAAGAUAGAAAGAAAAAAAGUAGUAUACUAACCUAACCUUAUUGGAAAAAUGCAAGGUCUUAAGGCCGACCCCUUCGGUGUCUCUUGGCCUUGGAGGACCGUAAGAAGCCCUUGGGCAAAAGACGGUCAGGAAAGGAAAGAGAAAGGUGCACUCUUGGAAAGAGCUUCGCGGUCGGGUGAAACACAUAAUGCAUAUACGGAAACGAAGUGUCCCUCGAGACCAAGAGCCGAAGGCGACACUUAACACUUCUUCUGAUCUUUCCAUUUCCUCUAUGUUAUUCAGUCUAUCGGAGCUUGGAACAUAGAGGAGAAAUCAUUUGUAUCUGUUAUAGGGACACCAUUCUUUGGAGUUCUCUUUCAUCUUCGACUCCCUCUGUUUUCAUUCCAUCGGGCCAUGGCACAUAUAGAGAACGGUACGAUUCCUAUUAUAAGGACACCUUCGCCAAACCUUCCCCGUGGGUGGUUAAUAUUUAAUAUAAUAUGCAGAAACCCUGACUUCCUGUCUUCUCAUAGAUCUUUAUCCAUCAAGCUAGCGAAAAAAGUGAAAGUACGAUGGGCUCCUCCAUGAGAAAAGAGAUUCCUUAGUUAAUAGGCUAUGUCCUUUAACUUGGAAGAUUGGAAAACCUUGGUCGUCCUUCGGACUUUAGUUAGCAUCGAGCCCUCUUUUUAGGAAGAAUAGGAAAAGAGUUUCAAUAUUGAAACAGCAUUGGAUAAAGGAAGUCUUCAUUCAUUCAACGGCAUUACCGACCAGUCUAGGCUCUUUGGGAGCAGCGAAUAGGAUAGGCUGCUGGUAGGACUGGCUUGUUGGGAUAGGUCAGGCAAAUUCCUCUAGUGGAAGGAAUAUGCCCAUAGAGAAAAAGCCAAUUAGUAAGUAAGAUCGAAAGAGUAGGGACAGACUUUUGCAUCAAUCCUAGCCAGGGAAAUCCCCGAAUCGAAGGAAGAGUAAGCGAAAGGCUGCACAUUCAUUCGUAGACUAAGCUGUUGUCGGAAUAAGCGCAGUUCAGAGGGACUGAUUGAUCAAGGUCUUACAGAAUCUUAUUUCAUAACUAGGAUUUACCCGUAUGCAAACUGUUAGGAAUGAUGCUUUCACUAGGGGAAAAACAUCAAAUAGUAAAGGCUAUGCGUAAUCAACACAAAUCAGAUUCUCGAACACCGCCUUUCGCACCUAAUACCGUAUUAUCCUUAACUCUUGGGCAAGAAGCCCACGGAGCGGUGAAUCCCUUAGAGCUUGCAUUCUUUGCUUCGGAUUCCAUUCCUUCAAACAAUUCUAUCACACACGGCAAAUCGAGUUCAAAGAACUCUCCCCACAACUUACUUCGACCUUUCUAACGUUGCAGCUAAACUAACGGAGGAAGGAAGAGGGGGGACAUCCAAUUGAUCACAGAACUGGAAGAGGUUCGAUUCCUCUUUGAUAUGGUUAAGCGAAGAGCACAAAGCACAUGUGCGAAAUGAGAGCUUCAGGAAUGGGAAGACAAGAGAAUGCCCGGGUACUCCAUCUACCAAAAGAAAUGAUUGAAAUAGAGCGAAGAAUGGAAAGGCAGGCUGCGAAAGUGCUGACUCAAAGGCUGAUAGGAUUGAACUCAAAGGGAAAAGGAAAUAGGCUAAGCAAGAGGAUUUACCAUCGAUCGUGAAAGACGAAGUGACUCACCAAGAGCAUUGCCCAUCAGGGGCUGCGGGGACAGGAGCUAUAAGAACUAAACCAAAAGAAAAUGGCCGUAGAAGGCUAGCUUUCAGAAUAAGAAAAGGCACCUUAUUAGCACGAUAGGGGGAUGCUUAGACAAGCAAAAAGCAUUCAACAAAACGGACUAAAUUCUUUCUUAGGAAGGAUUCCCCUUACUGGGGGUGGGACUAUUACACCAACUGAAGCUUAGGAAGGAAUGGAAAGAUAGGAAGCUUGGAGAGCUAAUGGAAAGAAAUGCGUAAGAAAUAACAGAUCCGGGAUAGAAGUCGAAUACGAUGUUGUAACUAGGGGCAAGAUACAGACUUUAGAGCAUCAAGUCAUACACAAACUGGAGUGACUUCACUACCUGAAGAAAGAAAGCUGCUUCCGCAGGGUCGAAGAAGAUGUGUAAGACACCGAGGGGCUGGGGCUUCUUUAUUGUAAGGCGUCUAGAAGCCCAAUUUUGGGCUUUUUUGUGUUGUCUUACGGGCAUGUUCACAAAGGAAAAGGCUCUCCAUGGGCAGCUUCUGCUUUGGCUCAAAGCGAAUAGGCUGGCAGUCUUGAAGCAAAGGAGAAUUCUUUAACUGUUCGGUGUUGGCAUCUUUUCCUAUCUCUAACUGUUCUUCUAACCGGGCAAAGUAAUCGGCUAACCGGGAAUUCAUAUUCAGAGCUAAGUCCCAAGAAGGGAGUUUGGAAUGUACGGGCGUAGGUUAGCGUCUCGUCCUAUGAAUGAUAGCGUUUGAAGGCCGCCCACGGGAUGCGCUGUACGGUAGUAGUUUAUGUUAGCUGCUUAUUCGGUGCCUUCUUUACGACUUUCGACCAAAUUGAAGAAACUCUUGUUUAGUCAGGACGUCGUUCCUGUCCCUUUGUGGUGCUUUUUCAAACCUUUGCUUCGCAACCAUCGUCUUUUAGCUGAUUGAUGAAUGUCAAAGAUAGACGUGUCACGCCGCAUGAAGAAAGCUAUCAAGCAUUGAAUGAAGGGAGGGAGGCUCAGGCAAGGUUUUCGAAGCACGUCCGCCGUUGUCUUUUCUGUCGAGGUUGCUUGCAAGGAGUCGACACUCUGAGAUGUCAAUAGAGAGAGCACAAAAGCGAGUCGUGAGUAUUCGACUCUGUAAUCUUGUCAAAGAGGGUUUGACCGCAACUAGGCUACGGGUUUUUAUUCUGGUAGACAUCACCCGAACGCCGCGUCCUAGACUGAUGACACUUGCUCAAUCUCUAAAGCAAAUUCGGAAACUUUAGAAGAACCAAUCUCGAGAGGUUGCAUUGGGCGGGCGAUAGGGACUCUGGAUUUCUUUCUGCUGGCAAGGCAUCUAUACCGUAGAUGUGCCGCGGAAUCACCAAUGAAUCUAAGGCCGCGACGGGGACCGGGAGGAGCAGACAAAGAGAGUAUAGAAAGAGUAGAGUCUUCACUCAGUCCAUGAGAGAACGCCCUCUCUGAUUGACUUCAUCAGGAAUCCUGAGGGUCCUGCCCUUGCUCUUUAUCUCGGUAUGGUUGACCACAUUCCUGUUUUCAACCUUGGUAGGUCUUCGGUUCUGCUUAUCGAUCCGCUUCGACUCGAUCGGAUCACGGGAUAACUUGUUCGAGCUUUCCCUCACUCUUUGCCUGAAGCAUUCAUUCCAGAGAUCUUUGCAAUCAAUCUCUCCCACAAUAGCUAAAAGCUGCCGUUAGCGCUGUUGCACGAGUACUACGACAAACCCGUACCACGAGUACACUAACAAGAGAGGAACUACGAGCAGAAAGACUCACUCUGCUACUGAAAUUCAAGAGAUUGCGUUUAAAUACAGAGAAAGAGAGAGUCAGUCUCUUGAGCGACCGAUCAAGAAAUGCAAAGAUAAGGGGAAUGGUUAGUGAUGACGGCAUAGGACACAGAAAGUUCCUUCUCUCUCUUUUGAAUCCCAGGGAUUGUCUCAGGGAAGAGGCCAGUCCCUGAAAAAGCCAUCUCGAUUGGUAUCAUUCAUUCAAAUACGAAUAUAGGCCUGAUUGAAGCAUAAAAGUGAAAUAAUAAUAAUGAGAGGCUUUUUUCCGUUGACGGUCAUCUUACCUGUCUCCUACGCUACGCUCUCAACUGGAUCAAUCGCUUCGUCCUGAUUUAUUGAACAGGUGCCCUGUGGAACAUGUUUUAUGGAAUUUCACUCUUUAUUCCAUAUUUCUUUUCUUACUGAUUGAAUUCAGGUAGAGAGAGGAAUAUUCGAUAAAAACCCUUAGUCCGAUAGGGGGAUAGUAUACAUUCCAAUCCGGAUAAGACACUGAGAUGAAAGACGAAUCAAGCAAGAAAGGCAGAAAGGGGGCCCCAUUCUCGAGUGAGAGUUCUUUUUUGGGGUUAGUCUGACUGUCCUCAUUCUAGUUGGUAGGCGUGCUAGUAAGAGGGUAGUAGGUGAAAUUCUAUAAAUUGAAUGGGACUUCAGCUUCGACAAUCGUAUCCUCCCUUCAGCAAAUAAGGUGGAGUGGGAAAGGCAGAGAAGACAGGAAAAGACAAGGUCAAACUUCAGCAUUUCCAUUACCUGAUCCAGUAAAGGAAGCAUUUACAGUGAAUAAGAACUAGAAUUGUUGAAGAAACUACUAACUCUAACUAUCUAACUGCACUGAUCGGGGUCGAUCUCACUGACCCCUUGCUUCACCACACCCAAGCCGAAGGCUGAGGAGAGCAAAAUAAGGUGAAGGUGGAUACCGCUCAUCAAGAGCUUGGUUAAGUGUCCAAGACCGUAUGCCUUGCUUGUUGGACCUGAAUCUGAACUCAAUGAUUGCAAUUCAAGAAGAAUAAGAAGAAUUGCUUAAGUAAGGUAGUCGCUUCUUUUUUUUGGUAUACCGUUCUGCUCGCAGAGCGAAUGAAUAGAAAUCUUUUCGAAUAUCAUGAAUAUCCAUCGCCCCUUAUCUCCUCAUCUUCCUAUUUAUAAGCCACAGCUUACUUCGACGUUUUCAAUUUCCCAUAGAAUCUCCGGAGCUUUCCUAGCCACUAUAGUUUUCUUUUUUUAUCUUCUUUGUCUGAAAACAGGUUUGAUUUGCUUCACCUAUGAGAAUUUCUACCAAAUCUUCUUUUAUUCAUCAAAGCUUAUCCUAAUCUCCGUCGAGAUUACUGCCUUAGCCCUGUCCUAUCAUCUGUGUGAUGGAGUUCAUCAUUUAUUGACGGAUUUUUCGGGAUUUUUCUUUCGAAAGAAAAAGAUUGAAAUGACUGUGCAAAAUUGAACCUAUACCUUUCUUUGAGAUUGAAACUUCCAAUUCUGUUUUUUUUCUUAUGAAAUGUUUAUUAUUCGUUAAUAGAUCUAAAGCUUAUGCCGUACAAGAUGACAUCAGGCUAUUGGCCUUUUAUCUGCAUCUUCCCUCGUAGAGUGGCGUCUUUUAUAAGAAAAGACUUUCUCAGUGGAACUAAAAAAAAAAAAGAGUUUGAGCUCUUUCUUUUGGUUGACUUUUAGCCACGCACGGCGGCUAUGCGCAUGUGUCCCAAAGUGACGUAUAUUUUUUGGUAAUGGGUAUACUCGAGAGAAAAGGUUUGGAAUUUGACCUCCCCUUAUACGCUCUAAAAGGGGGUCAUGGACUCCUUUUUAGUUUAGGAUCCCCUUUCUACAUUCAAUUAUUUAUUGAGCCUGGUGUGGAAUCACCAUCAUUACACAUUCAUUCUUGGUCUGGCUGCUGGUCUAGCGAGCCUUCCUAGCCGCCUAGAGUGCAGCCUGCCUGCUGAAGACCGUAACGUAAGUAACUCAGUGCUCCAUACGGGGGAAAUGAAAGCAGAAUUCGUUCGGAUCCUCCCACAUGUUCAAUCUUUUUUUAGCGGUUUCCCCAGAGAUCUUUAUCAUUAAUGCAACCUUCAUUUUUCUCAUUCAUGGAGUUGUAUUUAGUACCUCUAAGAAAUAUGAUUAUCCACCGUUAGUCAGUAAUGUGGGUUGGCUUAGAUUACUUAGUGUUGCGUGCCUAGGAGGGCAGCGUGCUUUGGGAUGCGGAGGAGCUAUUAUCGUCCAGCUCCCUAACCUAAAGCAGCACUGGAUUUGGACCGCAGGGAACCGUAGCAUGGGGGGACGUCUAAUCCUUUUGCCGCUGCAAGGCAGGCUAAUCGUACGCAGCAGGCUCGAAUACCCCUGGUUCUGGAAGGCACAUGAGUCCGAACGCUAUGUUGAAUGUGCGACCGAGACUACACUACGUAGGUACCUGUGCAGGUGAGGCAUCGGUCGGUCCUAGAAACGGCGGCAGCGGCGCGAGGAGUUAAUGACCGGACGUGCUGCAACCUAGGGAUCACCAGGCAGCUCUUUCGCUCUAUAGGGAUCCGGGGGGCAUAGCACAAUUCUUCUUGGAAGAGGGUUGUUUGCUCGGGUGACUGAUCCUGCCAUAAUGUACUUCUACCUAUUAUAGCACCGGCAGCCAAAGUCGAGCAUACAUACGACGAUCUUCAUGCGUGAAUAGCCGGAAGGAAAGAAAGGGCGGUAGAUAAUAAUGAGAAAGGGCGCCGCGGCUGGACGGGCGGAAUGGAUGAGCGAAAGGUGUUAUGCCAUGGAGUGGGAAAUAGCCCUCGUCUCAUGUAAGACAACUAAAUGCACCUUGAGGCCGAGGAACUGAGGGACCUUCUCGAGCACAGGAUAGGUAAUUGAGAGAUAGAGCUAGCCUAUUCGUUAUGGGAAAUCAAUGCUCCGGGCCAAAUAGAGCUUACCUACGGCACCUGGCUUUCUCCGGCGAGCUUUCUAUCGUAAAGACAAAGACGCCCCAAGACAAGGUACAACUAUUGGGAAGGGGACAUGAUCAAUAGAACCUGGCUGGAUCUGGGCUGGGAUAGUGGCGCCCAUUCUUAACCAGUUCCGAAAGGGUUUGCUCAUGAUGGAGGGAGCAUCCCCACUUAGUGAUCGGUCCGCUAGUUCACGCAAAUCCGAAGAAGUUAUCACGGACGAGCCACAUGCAGGGAAACUUGCACGUGUGGUUCUGGCCGGGCUUUCCUGAGGUAUCUAAUAACCUUGCUUCUGCUCGCCGCUGGCGCACCUCUCCUAACUAUUGCCCAUUUAUUCUGGAAUAAUCUUUUUAGGAUGGACAAUUUGACAUAUUUCUUCCAAAUCCUUCUAUUAUUAAGUACGGCUGGUACCAUUUCGAUCUGUUUCAAUUCUUUUGAACAAGAGAGGUUUGAUGCUUUUGAAUCCAUUGUAUUAAUUCCACUUCCUACUCGCGGUAUGCUCUUUAUGAUCUCGGCUUAUGAUUCAAUAGCCAUAUAUUUAGCUAUUGAGCCUCAAAGUUUAUGUUUUUAUGUGAUUGCAGCAUCAAAAAGAAAGUCUGAAUUUUCUACGAAAGCCGGCUCGAAAUAUUUGAUCUUAGGUGCAUUUCCCUCUUGAAUAUUAUUAUUUGGGUACGACCGGACAACUACCAAUAUCUAUUAAUAUAUUUUCUUAGAAUGUUCUUUAGAAAUAUAUAUCUAUCUAUCUAUAUCAUAAACUAUCGGAUCGGGUAUUACAACGAUGUGAAAUUUGCAGACCUCAUUGGUUGUAAUAUUUAUCUUACGGGGGGAACGAAAUCAAAGAAUAUAUAGACUAGUAGAGACCCUCUAUGUAGUUGUCUAUCUAGGGCGAUCGAUCUACAUCUUUCCCCAUAGCCCUGGGGUUGUGUCUCGAUCUCCUAUGUGCAAAAUAGUUGGGACUAGUUCCUAUAGAGAUUCCCCUAGGUCUAAUUCCACGCCUUAUGACGAAAGGGGAGUCGGCAUGGCGUAAAGUGAAGAUUGGGGGGAAUAGAAAAAAUUCCCUUAUGGGGUAUUCCGAAGGUGUAACCUAGGCAACGAAAAAGGGGGCUCGAUACUUGAACUAGAGGAGCGACCAGUUGGUUCACCAAACCCCAACCCAGCGUCACACAUUCUCCAGGUCUGAAGGGAUCCAGUGCCCAACUACCGACUCCUCCCGGAAUUGCGUUAUCGGAGCCGAGCUAGGAAUCGCCGUUAGUGGACACCCACCACUUUUCACCGGUUAGAGAGGCCCUCUUUAAUACAUUAAGAAAAGAUGUUCACAGGGGCCAGAAUGACUCGGUCAUAGGAAUUUAGAACACCUACGUGCUGGUAAACGAAAACCACCUCGACCAGAUCAGAGUAAACAACACAAUGUCGAAUCAGGCCGCCCUUUGCCCUGAAAGAAUUCACACGCGGCCACCAGCUUUCCCAAAAUAAGGGGAGAUCUGCUGCUUACUGCUCAUGGAAACAUCCGACCUAUACUAUAGUCAAGUCGUUCACCUAUCUUUCUAAUCUCCUUUCCUUCUAUUCAUCAGAUUUUUGGCUUUGACCCAGUGAAAAAUGGGGUUGAUGGUGUUGGCUAAAAAAGGGGGAGAGAGGAGAGCCUUAGGGUACUCUCACUUCUGCAUUUUUGUUUAGGUUCUCGAGAUUUUCAAUCGCUCUUUUUAGUGGUGGGGAGGAAUAGUACAUGAAUGGCGGUUCUCAGACAAGGGAAUCAUUCCUCUCUAAAUAAAAUAAAAAGAAGAUAGAAUCUUUCUAUUUAUAGAGCUUUCACGUCUGCGCAUAGAAUCCUUUUUUGCCCUUUCAUUCUGUUCUUACGGUAGUUGGGUCAGAAUCUGUGUGAUGGUUCGAAAGUCGUUUCAAAUAUUCUUUGCAUCCCCAGAGAGAUAGAUUGUUGGCAUUGUGCCUUGGUCGUCAAAAGGGCCACAAACAGCCUUAAAGUACUGUUCCAUGUCGCAGAGGUCUUCGAGCCUUGGCAUUUCAAAUCCCGUUGAAUGGCUGUGGUUCCGGGACUCAAGUCUGGAGUCGCCAGGUGAGACAUUCGGUUCACGAACCGGAAACCUAUCUCCACAGCAAGCUCCUCAAUUUGACCCGGUCCGUCACGCUUUGGACAUCGCCACCGGGAUCGUUGAGGCCCCAUGAAGACGGCUCUACUUCACUGGGAAGACGCGGUACUCAUUAGCGAGCGUCUGGUGACCAACUAUUCCGGAUUCCCCUGCCUUUCUGCCAUAGUCUACACUUGUCCGUCCAAAUGGUCGACCUUACCAUCAAUUUGGGUCACUCGAUCCUUGAGUGUUUCCUUAACAACAGCCACCACUGAUAGCACUCCACUGCUAUCGUCAUGUAUAUGGUAC
rnacentral:lncRNA from 1 species